rnacentral:rRNA from 1 species
UACGAAGGGGGCUAGCGUUGCUCGGAAUUACUGGGCGUAAAGCGCACGUAGGCGGCUCUUUAAGUCGGAGGUGAAAUCCUGGAGCUCAACUCCAGAACUGCCUUCGAUACUGUAGAGCUUGAGUUCGGGAGAGGUGAGUGGAACUGCGAGUGUAGAGGUGAAAUUCGUAGAUAUUCGCAAGAACACCAGUGGCGAAGGCGGCUCACUGGCCCGAUACUGACGCUGAGGUGCGAAAGCGUGGGGAGCAACAGG